AGAAAAUUAGUUAAUAAUAUAAUAUAAGCUUGUCAAGCUUAAGUAAUUAGAUCCACUAAUAUUUUCUA
rnacentral:tRNA from 1 species